rnacentral:lncRNA from 1 species
AAACAAUUGAGAAGCAGACACAGAAGUCAAACUUUUUCAAUAAGCUAAAUUGGAAGAAAGGGCUUAGCACACGGUGUUUCCUAAUCUUUCCUGCCAACCAUUUAUUUAAGCUCAGAUCUUGGGAAGCCCAUCUAAGGGCUUCCAAAGAGAAAAUGCUACUUAUCAAGAAUCAUGCCUUUCCUGUUGCAGAGUAGAAGUAAACAAAAUCAAGAAAUCUCCAAUGCUCACACAAUUUUAACAGGUUUGGCCAAUACAACAGAGACGUGAAAACCAACAGAUGUCCCCCACCAAUCCAGGAAUGAGUGAAUUCUUGCUCUAUCAGGACCUGUGAGACUUCCCUCAAGAGCUGGUUGUUAAAAAGAGCCUAGGACCUCUUCCCUCUCUUGCUUCCUCUCUUGCCUUGUGAUCUUCACAUCCUGACUCUCCUUCACCUUCCACUCUGAGUGGAAGUUUCCUGAGGCUCUCGCAAGAAGCAGAUAUCGGCACCAUGCUUCUUUUACAGUCUUCAUAGUCCUGAGAACAAGCAAGUGUUGGUGCAGGAUAACUUUAGAGGCUGCCAGUGUAACUAACCUUCUGCUGAUCACUCCAUUCAAGCUGCUCAAAUAGUCCUUCCAAGGUCACAGGCCAGCGACAGCAGGGAUGACUAACAAAAAC